rnacentral:sRNA from 12 species
UAGUAGGCUGAUGGAUUGAGAGAUGAAGGCCGAGAGGCUGGAUGGAAGUCCGGAAAAAUGCGGGAGUAGGUAUGUGGCGUAAGGAUAAUAAUCCAUGAAGGGCGAGAGGUUCGUCCUGGUUCCCGCAAGGCAGACAGGGGAGAUAGUGCUUCUCUUAUGAGAAGGGCGUCGUGAACACAGUUUAAGUGGCUCGUCUGUAGCUCCCGGAGCUGAGUACACCUUUACGUAUACGGGGCGAUGAGGGGUUGAAAAGACCGGCGUAUACCUUAA